AAUUAUAAUAUUUUAAUACCUGAUAGUGUAGAAGUAUAUGUGUUCUUGGUGUUGACAUGCAACAAGAUUCAUUACGGACAAAGAAUACGCUGAAGCCACAUAUCGCAUCCAGUUUGCAACACUCGUAUCUGAACCAUCCAGAUGCGAGUGACGACGCGGCGCCGAUGCAUUUUCGCCAGUGCAGUGUGCAGUAGAGUGCAGUGUGUGCGCAGCGGCGGCUGCUGCAGCGGCUGCGGCGGCAUCGUGGAACACGCCACAAGAUCCCGAACCUAUAAAGGCGUCACCUCCUCUUGUGACGAAUGGAAUAGUUAAUGGAGAAACGUUGCGAU